GGUGCACCAGGCGCGAAAACUCUACAAUGCAGGCAACUGCGAUAGGGGAACAUCGAGUGAUACUCAUAUUGGGUGUCUGUCCUUCCGUCUAAAAAACGGGAGUUAGCAAGGGCCGGGCAAGACCGGUGCCAGCCGCCGCGGUAAUACCGGCGGCUCGAGUGGUGGCCGAUAUUAUUGAGUCUAAAGGGUCCGUAGCCGGCUUGGCAAGUCUCUUGGGAAAUCCGGCGGCUUAACCGUCGGUCGUCCGGGAGAUACUACUUUGCUUGGGACUGGGAGAGGCGUGAGGUACUCAGGGGGUAGGAGUGAAAUCCUGUAAUCCUUUGGGGACCACCGGUGGCGAAGGCGUCACGCCAGAACAGGUCCGACGGUGAGGGACGAAAGCUAGGGGCACGAACCGGAUUAGAUACCCGGGUAGUCCUAGCCGUAAACGAUGCUCGCUAGGUGUCACGACAAUCGUGAAUUGUCGUGGUGCCGUAGGGAAGCCGUGAAGCGAGCCACUUGGGAAGUACGACCGCAAGGUUGAAACUUAAAGGAAUUGGCGGGGGAGCACAAGGGCGAUUCGCG
rnacentral:rRNA from 1 species